CGUGGGAAUCUGCCUAGUAGUGGGGAAUAACCUGGGGAAACUCAGGCUAAUACCGCAUACGCCCUACGGGGGAAAGCGGGGUUCGCCUCGUGCUAUUAGAUGAGCCCACGUCCGAUUAGCUUGUUGGUGAGGUAACGGCUCACCAAGGCGACGAUCGGUAGCUGGUCUGAGAGGAUGAUCAGCCACACUGGGACUGAGACACGGCCCAGACUCCUACGGGAGGCAGCAGUGGGGAAUAUUGGACAAUGGGCGAAAGCCUGAUCCAGCAAUGCCGCGUGUGUGAAGAAGGCCUGCGGGUUGUAAAGCACUUUCAGUGGGGAGGAAACACAACGGGUUAAUACCCCGUUGGAUUGACGUUACCCACAGAAGAAGCACCGGCUAACUCCGUGCCAGCAGCCGCGGUAAGACGGAGGGUGCAAGCGUUAAUCGGAAUUACUGGGCGUAAAGCGCACGUAGGCGGCUGAGUAAGUCGGAUGUGAAAGCCCCGGGCUUAACCUGGGAAUUGCAUUCGAUACUGCUCGGCUAGAGUUUGGUAGAGGGAAGCGGAAUUUCCGGUGUAGCGGUGAAAUGCGUAGAUAUCGGAAGGAACACCAGUGGCGAAGGCGGCUUCCUGGACCAAAACUGACGCUGAGGUGCGAAAGCGUGGGUAGCAAACAGGAUUAGAUACCCUGGUAGUCCACGCCCUAAACGAUGAGAACUAGACGUUGGGGGUAUUUAGACCCUUUGUGUCGCAGCAAACGCGUUAAGUUCUCCGCCUGGGGAGUACGGCCGCAAGGUUGAAACUCAAAGUAAUUGACGGGGGCCUGCACAAGCGGUGGAGCAUGUGGUUUAAUUCGAUGCAACGCGAAGAACCUUACCUGCCCUUGACAUCCUCGGAACCCUGCAGAGAUGCGGGGGUGCCUUCGGGAACCGAGUGACAGGUGCUGCAUGGCUGUCGUCAGCUCGUGUCGUGCGAUGUUGGGUUAAGUCCAGCAGCGAGGGCAACCCUUGUCCUUAGUUGCCAGCGGUUCGGCCGGGAAUUCUAGGGAGUCUGCUGGUGAUAAACCGGAGGAUGGUGGGGAGGUCGUCAAGUCAUCAU
rnacentral:rRNA from 1 species